rnacentral:rRNA from 1 species
CAGCGCCGCGGGAAAACAGAGGGUGCGAGCGUUAAUCGGAUUUACUGGGCGUAAAGUGUGCGUAGGCGGCUUCUUAAGUCGGAUGUGAAAUCCCUGAGCUUAACUUAGGAAUUGCAUUCGAUACUGGGAAGCUAGAGUAUGGGAGAGGAUGGUAGAAUUCCAGGUGUAGCGGUGAAAUGCGUAGAGAUCUGGAGGAAUACCGAUGGCGAAGGCAGCCAUCUGGCCUAAUACUGACGCUGAGGUACGAAAGCAUGGGGAGCAAACAGGAUUAGAUACCCGUGUAGUCCCUGUCUCUUAUACA